UUCAUACACACACACAACAACACAAACUUGAUCAUCAAGCUCUCUAUAAUGGUACCAAUCACCACCUUCUUGUUCUUCAUCAUCACCUCAAUUUCUUCAUUCAUUCAUUUCGCUUUUCGACGCCCUUCACAUGGUGCAGCAUAUAAUCCACCUGGAAAUUACUAUCUUCAUAUGGGUGCGGUACACUAUUUUUGAGUUUAUACGCCUACAAUCUUGGAUCAAUCAAUUUCUUUUAUUUUAUUUUAUGUCUCAAUGAUUGAGAACCAAAGUUUGGGUUGACCUACAAAUCCCAGGUAGUUUCAUUUGAAUCUAAUGAUGUUUUAUGUGUGAAAUGUACCUUAAUUUGACGGACGCAUACGCUACACCCUCGCUCUUGAUGCUUUCGGUCUUUAAUCAAGAGUUGUUUAUUGAGAUGAUCGUUUGCUGGAGAUAAUUAUCAACUUUCUAAUAUGUUCUAUUAUUGUAGAUUGAAAGAUUUUAUAUUGUAUAGAGAUAUAUGAUUGCUAGGGGAUCAUUGAAUUUUUCUUUUGUGUUACUUUGUAUAUAAGUUUUCAC
rnacentral:lncRNA from 1 species